rnacentral:lncRNA from 10 species
UCAUUGUACCAGGUGCUGAGGCCAUCCCCUUCCAGGGGCUCAAGGAUUGUGCAAAUAUGUGUAUAUUUUGUUGGCGGGGAGAAGAUGACAGACAAGUAAAUAAUUAUUACCGCAACAUAAGGAAAAGGGAACACAGACAAGUUACAAAGCAGAUCAUGUCUCAGCCAAGUCUUUAAGAAGGAGUAGAAAUUUAUCAGCAUGACAAGAUCAAGGUGGGGGGUACUUUCCAGGAAGACCGAAGAAUUGGUGAAAUAUUGAGAAGACAAGCAGUUGCUGGCAGUGUGAUGUGGCUGAAGUGAGACUGCCAUGAGGAAGAUGGGAGAUGAAGCGAGGCAAUCAACAGAGCAUGAAUAAUAUACAGCCCUGCAAAUCAUGCAACGGAAAUGCACAUGCCAGGGUGGAUAUGAGGAAUAGUUCUAUGGAAUGGGUGCUAAUUUUCCCAGUUUUACAGAUGAACAAAGUAAAAUGAAGAGAAA